GAUGAACGCUGGCGGCGUGCCUAAUACAUGCAAGUCGAGCGAACCAAUUAAGAGCUUGCUCUUAGGAAGUUAGCGGCGGACGGGUGAGUAACACGUGGGUAACCUGCCUAUAAGACUGGGAUAACUCCGGGAAACCGGGGCUAAUACCGGAUAACAUUUUGCACCGCAUGGUGCGAAAUUGAAAGGCGGCUUCGGCUGUCACUUAUAGAUGGACCUGCGGCGCAUUAGCUAGUUGGUGAGGUAACGGCUCACCAAGGCGACGAUGCGUAGCCGACCUGAGAGGGUGAUCGGCCACACUGGGACUGAGACACGGCCCAGACUCCUACGGGAGGCAGCAGUAGGGAAUCUUCCGCAAUGGACGAAAGUCUGACGGAGCAACGCCGCGUGAACGAUGAAGGCUUUCGGGUCGUAAAGUUCUGUUGUUAGGGAAGAACAAGUGCUAGUUGAAUAAGCUGGCACCUUGACGGUACCUAACCAGAAAGCCACGGCUAACUACGUGCCAGCCGCCGCCGUAAGAC
rnacentral:rRNA from 1 species